GGCCUCGUAGUUCAAUGGAUAGAAUGAGGGACUUCUAAUCCCUAGAUCGUGGUUCGAUUCCACGCGAGGUCA
rnacentral:tRNA from 2 species